CCUACGGGAGGCAGCAGUGAGGAAUAUUGGUCAAUGGCCGGAAGGCUGAACCAGCCAAGCCGCGUGAGGGAGGAAGGCGCAGAGCGUCGCAGACCUCUUUUGCCGGGGGACAAAAGGCCGGACUCGUCCGGUCCUGAGGGUACCCGGAGAAAAAGCAUCGGCUAACUCCGUGCCAGCAGCCGCGGUAAUACGGAGGAUGCGAGCGUUAUCCGGAUUUAUUGGGUUUAAAGGGUGCGUAGGCGGGACCUUAAGUCAGCGGUAAAAUUGCGGUGCUCAACGCCGUAGAGCCGUUGAAACUGGGGUUC
rnacentral:rRNA from 1 species